rnacentral:rRNA from 1 species
CCUACGGGGGGCAGCAGUGAGGAAUAUUGGUCAAUGGGCGGAAGCCUGAACCAGCCAAGUCGCGUGAGGGAAUAAGGCCCUACGGGUCGUAAACCUCUUUUGCCGGGGAGCAAGGGCGGGGACGUGUCCCGGCCCGGAGAGUACCCGGAGAAAAAGCAUCGGCUAACUCCGUGCCAGCAGCCGCGGUAAUACGUAGGAGGCGAGCGUUGUCCGGAAUUACUGGGUGUAAAGGGAGCGUAGGCGGGAGAGCAAGUCGACGGUGAAAUCUAUGGGCUUAACCCAUAGCUGCGAUCGAAACUGUUCAU